AGUGAGUUCGAUAAAGGUUUGCUGUCAAUCCCCAUGCGUCACAAAAGGGAUUUUUCACCCACCCGCGA
rnacentral:tRNA from 1 species